CUGCUCGAUUCUGUGAUGUUUUCCACAGAGGUCGACCCAUGAGUCGACCCCCAGGCAUGAGUCGACUCAUGAGUCGACCCCUGUGAUGGGAUUCUUCCACAACGACUAGUUUUUAACCCAUUUUAAAUAUUUUUAAUGCUCAUUUAAUGCAGUCUAACGGCUCUUUUUCAGUCUAGAAUGAUUUUCUCUAUCUCUUAAAGCUAUAAAAAGGAACAAAAAGGUGGG
rnacentral:lncRNA from 1 species